CUGCGGGAAGAUGCCGUUGGGGGCCAGCUGGUGGAAGAUGCAGCGCAGGAACUGCUUGGCCACCCCCGCGGCGUUGCCGGGAACCAUCAUGCUGGGGAGAAGAGACGAGGCUCGUGAGCAGCCGCCUGAGCGACACAGCCAAGAGAAGCAAGAUAGGAGAAAUGUUUCUGGGGACUGUGGAAAUCAGCGUCUCAAGCCCAAGCACUUUUCUCUGGAGCAGUGGCGUGAAGCGUCUAGUCACUAAUGACAAGGACUUCCAGCCCUGGAGCCAGCUAAAUGAUAUAAGAUAAAACCAGCCUAGUUUAAAAUUCUGCUACAAAAAAAGUUAUACAAGAAUCAGAUCUGUCACAAGUGAUAUCAGCAUAUGGACAAAGACUGAAAAGCAGAGGUUCUGCAGGCUGCACGGGGAGGCAGGAGGUGCCCACCAGGUCUGGCUCUCGGUUCUGGAUCCCCUACUCCACUCUUAGUAUGUCACGAUGUGAAAUGACAACCAGUCUUCCUGGGGCUAUAGAAGCCACAUAUUUCUUCCAUGAAUAAAUGCACCCUUACUUGAUAAAUUUCUAAAUCUCCUGCAAAUCUAUGUUAAAUGAUUCCAGCCACUCUUAAAACAUAAUUUUAUAAAAAGUUAUAGUAGCUAGUGAAACAAUAUAGUUCUGUGCAAAUAAAGACGUUUCAGUACUUUGCUUAAGCUGUUCCAGCAACCUGGAAUAUUCUUGAUAUUAUUUUCUGCUUAUUGACACUCUACCAUCCUUAAAGAAUCUGCUGCUGAAAUUCCAGCUGUUCUCUGAAGUCUACUUUGCCCUCCUAGAGUGGCCUCUCCAUCCCAUGAACUCCUGCAAAAAUACUGUUCAUUUACAUACAGCAUUUAUGUGUUCAUAUAUGGCUAUAUGACUUAUCUCCUUUUGUGUUCUUGAAUUAUAUUUAUACCUUUAUAGUUUCUUAAACUCUUCUUACAAGUUUAUAUUUGGUCUUAUCAAUUAAAUUAGGAGCUUUUGGAGAAAAGGAAUCAGCUCUUAUACUCUUUUUAUUGUUCCCAUAGUACCUAGUACAUAUAGGAUUUAUUCAAUAAAUUCUCUGAUUCACUUAUUUAAAAAAUAUAUAUUAAGAACAUAUAUACAACUAAGAAAUCAUCCUAGGUACUUGGGAGGAGAUGGAAGUAAAUGGAAAAAUAAAUUGUUAUGGACUGAAUGUUUGUGUCCUCCCCCCACAAAUUCGUAUGUUGAAUGUGAUGUGUGAUGGUAGGACUUUGGGAAGUAAUUAGGUUUAGAUGAGAUCAUCAGGGUGGGGUCCCCAUGAUGGCAUUCAUGUCCUUAUAAGAAGAGGAAGAGAGAUCAGAGCUCUCUGUCUCUCUCUCCACCAUGUGAGGAGACAGCAAAAAGGUGGCCAGCCACCUACAAGCCAGGAAGAGAGCCCUCACCGAGAAAGUGAAUUGGCCAACACCUUGAUCUUCGACUUUCCAGCCUCUGGAACUAUGAAAAAUAAAUUUCUGUUGCUUAAGCCCCCCAGUCUGUGGUAUUCUGUUAGUGCAGCCCGAGCUGACUAAUACGUGAAUCGUUCACAAGUCUUGACUUCAAAGUCAAGUCAACUAAAACAGACAAGACAAGUAUAACUAUAACUGAAAUGUAAUAUAAAAAGCUGUAAAUCCUACUGAGUUGUAAAUAAAAUGGUAUGGAAGAUCAGAAGAUGAAGAAAUGACUUUAUCCACUGGGACAUCAUUGAGGGAACCAAGAAAGCGGAACUCAUUGUGGGCAUUUGAAGGAAGAUCAAAUGGAGGUGGCAUUUGAAUGGGACCUAGAAGGGAAGACAAUUUCAGGUGGAGAGCACAGAAUGGCCAAGAUAUGGUUGAGGGGAAGCAGGCAGCAAUGGCAUGUGUAGAAAGAAGAGAGGGAAAUGAGGCUGCAAACACUUGUAGUUAGACCAUGGGAGGCUCUGAAUGUCAGGUUAAGGGGUCUGAACUGUAUUCACUAGGCAUUGAAAACCCAUGAACAUUUUUUGAGGAGAAAAGUGACAUAAUCAGGGCUGUGAUUCAGAAGAUUAAUCUAGCAACAAUCUAAUCUUUAAAUUGUAAUGAAAGAGCAUAAACAUUUAUCUGCUUUAUUUGUAUUUAAAUGCCUAUAAAAUGUUACCAAUACCAUGUAGUUUUUUGCUAGAAAAUUUUAAUCUAAUUCCCUACAACAUCACGUGCUAUUAUAUAAAUAAACCAGCCUCUGGAAUUCAUGGGGCAUAAAAGGCAAGAACUCUUUGAGGUGGCCAGAUGUUAGGGAACUGAGCUCUAAAGUAUAAUAGUUAACUCACCUGAUGGAACUUCCAUUUCUUUCCCAAAUUUUUGAGACACUAAAAUAUAUGGAACCAUUCUGAUGAGGCACACUAUGGUAUGCCAGCCCCACUUGCUGCCCCCUGAAAAUGGGAGUCCUAGCAGAUUGGGGUGACAGUGAAGCCAGCAGAUGUGAGGCUAAGAGAACACAUCCACGUUCCUUCCUUACCCUGUUCCUCUGAGAACUUGCCAUUCUAAGCACUAGGAAAUUGUACCCAUCACUGCACCAGACUUGGUCCCUGAUGCUUCAAUGGCAAGGGUAUAACAGCAGAGAUUCUCAAACUUCACCAAUUACCGGGAGAACUUAUUAAAAAUGUAGAUUCCUGGCCUCACCCCCUGAAAUUCUGACUCAGUAAGUCUAGGAUAGGGCCCGAUAAUCUGCAUCUUUAACAAACAUUCCCAGUUACUCUGAUGCAAGCAACCUAUUAGAUUGACGACAUAAUUUAUCAUUCAAGCCAGGACCCAUCUGAGAGUAAACAAGGGUACAAUUAAUAAAUACACCUGGAGAGCAGGCAUAACCUGGGACUGUUCUAGGCAAACCUGUGCAGAUCACCCUACCUAAGGACACUGCAAAAUACUAUUAUCAAGGAAGCCUGGCUAAGUAGAACCACAAAGAACACCAGCAAGCAGGACAAUGCCCUUUAAAAACAAGGGAGGAUAAAGGAAGGCCAGAAAUAGAUGUGGUGCCUGGACACCUGGUUUACCUUGUGACCAGAGAGAAUUUUUAAGCUAAUACA